GCCCCUUUAUGAUGCGUCAUUUAGGAAAAGUAAAAGCAGCUGUACUGAAAUGUUGUCGCUCGUACUUAAUUCAGCCCAAAUCGAUCGGUUUGCGGGUGCCCCCUUUGGAUUUAUUAGCCCAAUUCUUCGGUUUAGCAGACGUCCUCGCUGCUUCUGCACACGCCGCUCACACCUGCAAGUCUACUACUCCCUGCCCCCACAGGAGGCGAAUUCUUGAAAUUAAAAGCGAAAGCUGCGCAAAAACGAAAGAGAACAGAAAAGAGUCGAAGCACUUUGGAACAUAACGCAUGGAUUUUUUAAAUGUCUCGUAAUGGAUUUAUUUGCGGUCGUUUAUCUUGUUUGUGAGGGUCCACGGAACGCAGCCCCGGAGGUUCAUAGGAGGUCAGAAGCUAAUCCAACAUAACUGGGCACACGCUGUCUUCUGGAACAGCAACAAUGGACUGGAUUGCUUGAAUCCCUUCUGAACAACCUGCACUUGUCCUUAAUAUCCAUAAUUCCCUAAAUGGCCACCAGUGCUGGUUUCUGCAUUUAACUCUGGAGUCUGCAGGAGUGUCAAAUCAAAGCUGAAGGUUCAUCUUGUAAAAUAAACGCUUGACUUCGUUUGGGACUUGGAAUAAGGAGAUGAUAUAAUAAAACACAGUCUGUGUAGGCAAAAAAACAUACUUGCACAAUAUGAUAUAUUUAUGAAGUGGAGGAAAAGCAGUAACUGACACUUUGGAAUGUUUGACUAGCAGGCUUGUCAGGUAUUAUUAUUAAUUUGAAAACUAGGUUUAGUAUUCUUACCUGUGAAGGUUAUAAGAUUGGACAAAAUGUCAGGUUUUUCACUUCUUGGAAAGAUAAGCAAAUCAAGCCAAGAGGACAGAAAUGAACUUUGAUCAGGUAAAUUCAGAUGAAUAUGCCUCAGUGUAUUGUGUCAACAGAAUAAAGUCUUUAUGAUUUUUGUGUCCAAUUCUAAAGCUUUUUGUGGGAUUUUUGAAAAGAGUGACACAUUCCUAUUUUGUGUCAGUAGACUAUAUUCAAUUAAUAAAGGUGUUUUUGUUUAA